rnacentral:rRNA from 1 species
AUUGAACGCUGGCGGAAGGCUUAACACAUGCAAGUCGAGCGAGCGGCGGACGGGUGAGUAAUGUCUGGGACACUGCCUGAUGGAGGGGGAUAACUACUGGAAACGGUAGCUACUACCGCAUACCAUCAGAUGUGCCCAGUUGGGAUUAGCUAGGGGGGGGGGUAAUGGCUCACCAAGGCGACGAUCCCUAGCUGGUCUGAGAGGAUGACCAGCCACACGGGAAUGGAGACACGGGCCAGACUCCUACGGGAGGCAGCAGUGGGGAAGAUUGCACAAUGGGCGAAAGCCUGAUGCAGCCAUGCCGCGUGUGUGAAGAAGGCCUUCGGGUUGUAAAGCACUUUCAGCGGGGAGGCGUUACUCGCAGAAGAAGCACCGGCUAACUCCGUGCCAGCAGCCGCGGUAAUAC